rnacentral:tRNA from 1 species
GGAGGGUUGGCCGAGCGGCUUAAGGCGCACGCUUGGAAAGCGUGUGUACGUGAAAGCGUACCGUGGGUUCGAAUCCCACAUCCUCCGCCA